rnacentral:sRNA from 1 species
CUUCCUCCACCUGCUGCGGGCAGAUGAAAUGGAUGUGCGCGUCGAUGCCGCCAGCGGUCAGGAUUUUUCCCUCCCCGCCGAUCACUUCGGUACCAGGACCAAUGAUAAUGGAACGGCUCGGGUCCAUAUUGCCGAAGCCGUCCUGCACAUCAGGAUUUCCGGCCUUGCCGAUGCUAACGAUGCGCCCGUCGCGAAUGCCGAUAUCGGCCUUGACGAUACCCCAGUGAUCAAUGAUCAGGGCAUUGGUGAUGACCGUAUCGACGGCACCCUCGGCGCGCGUCCUCUGGCUCUGGCCCAUCCCGUCGCGGAUG